UAUUUAUUAUAUUUUCUUUUCAGAAACGCCUUCUGUGCAUCUCACAUUUACUUAUUAUUACUAUGAUGACUUCUACAAGGGAACAAGAAGAAACGACUACACAUGGCCCUGAAGUGUAGCCAAGGAUGCGAGUAAGAGAUAUAACUUCAUAUAUAGCGCCUGUUAUUCUUAUUGCAGACACAUUGCAAAGCAUCAAAUCAAUUUUGUAUUUUUCAAAUAAAAAUCGCAUAAAGUUUUGCGA